GACGAACGCUGGCGGCGUGCUUAACACAUGCAAGUCGAACGGAAAGGCCCUGCUUUUGUGGGGUGCUCGAGUGGCGAACGGGUGAGUAACACGUGAGUAACCUGCCCUUGACUUUGGGAUAACUUCAGGAAACUGGGUCUAAUACCGGAUACGAGCUCCUGCUCCAUUGUUGGGGUUGGAAAGUUUCGGCGGUUGUGGAUGGACUCGCGGCUUAUCAGCUUGUUGGUGGGGUAGUGGCUUACCAAGGGUUUGACGGUUAGCCGGCCUGAGAGGGUGACCGGGCACAUGGGGAGAGAGAUACGGCACAGACUACUACGGGAGGCAGCAGAGGGGAAUAUUGCACAAUGGGCCGAAGCCGGAUGCAGCAACGCCGCGUGCGGGAUGGCGGCCUUCGGUUUGAAAACAGCUUUAGCCAGUGACGAAGCGUGAGUGACGGUAAUGGGUAAAGAAGCACCGGCUAACUACGUG
rnacentral:rRNA from 1 species